rnacentral:sRNA from 1 species
UAGUGCAAGCGUGCUCAAAAAUGGUGCAAGCAAUUUUGUAUUUCGUCCCAAGUGAUGGCGCUGGAUAGUUGGGCAGGGCUGGCUGUGCGGACGGAGUAUUUAAUCAACCGCGGGAGAUGGCUCCGCGCCAUCGCAACCAAAGCAAAUGUCAGUGACCUGGGGGGGUAUCGGAGUGAAGUGGGAUCUAACUUGCCUAUUUAACGAGUUAUAUGAAGAAACACUCCGAUCAUUAUCAUGCUAUAUUCCUGUGACUUUGAUCAAGCCCACAAAGCGAAGAAGCCGCCCUGGUGCAAGUGCAAGUUAUGGUUUCCAUCUGUGCAUGACAAGCCCUAUUUAUCAUCAAUUCAAUUCGGACACCGAGUGGUCUUAUUUAUUACCCACUGUAUCACCUUGAACCGGGGAACCAACCCUCUGUCUGCUUCUUGCCAUGCCUACUAAGAAUCCGAGACUCUCUUCCAGCUUCUUCAGUUGUAUUUUACAACGCUUCACUACAAAACAAUAUUGGAAACAACCACCCCAAACGCCUAACAAAAAGAUAGAAAGUCCACCCUGUCCAAGUAUUCCAAUUCCAAAAGCUCGAACGACAAAGGAAACCCUGCCUCUUCCCAGAGCAUAAAUAUAUUCAUAUCCGGCCAAUGCAACCCCAACCGCAACCGCAAACCAUGAGCUACCAAAAAAAUAUGGCAUAUGUGCAAAAUUCCCUCAUGAAAAAACGAAAUUCUUGACAAUUUAAGCUAGGCCCCACAGACUUCUCGCCUAUCUAAUUAGCCAGAGCGAUAUAAUCCUUAUUCUCCACGGUGACGCUCUUGGUCAUGUGGUUAACCUUAUAGACGCCGACAAGUCGAGAUGCAAGUUCGAACUAGAGUAAAGGGUUUUGCGCAUUAGAAUGGUUUCCGGGAACAACGGGACAAGAAGCUUAAGGUAUAAGAAGAGGGGAGAAAGGAAAGGGAAGCAACACAUACCAUAUUAUUUCGCAACGAGAUAACAAUGAAUUGAGCAUUCUUCGUUCGCUCUUUGAUAUAUGAGGCGACGAUGGAGACAUUCCUAAAAUCCAACGCCGCAUCAAUCUCAUCCAUGACGUACAACGGCGUCGGUCGGUAAUGAUGUAACGCAAACACAAGCGCAAGACUCGACAACGUUUUCUCCCCCCCGGACAAAUUACCAAUGUUCUUCCAGCUCUUCUUAGGUGGCAUGACUGAGAACAAAAUGCCUUCCGAGAAAGGAUCAAGAGAAUCCACAAGCUCCAGCUCAGCAUUACCACCCAUAGUAAUCAUUUGGUACAUCUCCUUUAGCCGGAGCGAGAUGGUGCUGAAUCCCUCCAUAAAGCCUGUUAGGCGGAGAGAGCGGAGAGUAUCAAGGCGUGACUUUGCAUUGUCACGGCUUUCUAGUGCAGUGGCCAGGUCGGCAGAGCGGGACUCGUGCUCAGCGACGCGGCGGCGGUAUUCGCCCAGGACAGAGAGGUCAACAGAGGCGUUCUGGGUCUUUUCCUCCAGAGCAGCGAUGACGGCUUUGAGCGAUUCUUUGCUCAUAUCGGCGAGUUCAUCCUUGGUGUAUAUUGGGAGGCUUUGAGCUUCC